rnacentral:siRNA from 1 species
UGAGGGAAUUGUAGGUGA